UAAUAUUAUUAAAAACAAUAAUAUGAACAAAUGGGCAAAUUUGGAUUUUGUCUACAAUCGGGAAAUUACUUAUUUUUCUUAUUAUCAAUG